rnacentral:rRNA from 1 species
UACGUAGGGCGCAAGCGUUAUCCGGAAUUAUUGGGCGUAAAGAGCUCGUAGGCGGUUUGUCGCGUCUGCCGUGAAAAGUCCCGGGGGCUCAACUCCGGAUCUGCGGUGGGGUACGGGCAGACUAGAGUGAUGUAGGGGGAGACUGGAAUUCCUGGUGUAGCGGUGAAAUGCGCAGAUAUCAGGAGGAACACCGAUGGCGAAGGCAGGUCUCUGGGCAUUAACUGACGCUGAGGAGCGAAAGCAUGGGGAGCGAACAGG